UACAUGGGGUGCAAACGUUGCUCGGAAUUAUUGGGCGUAAAGCGCACGUAGGCGGUUCGUUAAGUCGGAUGUGAAAGCCCUCGGCUCAACUGAGGAAGUGCACCCGAAACUGGCGAGCUUGAGUACGAAAGAGGAUCGCGGAAUUCCCGGUGUAGAGGUGAAAUUCGUAGAUAUCGGGAGGAACACCGGGUGGCGAAGGCGGCGAUCUGGGUCGAUACUGACGCUGAGGUGCGAAAGCGUGGGGAGCAAACAGGG
rnacentral:rRNA from 1 species